UUUUCGGCCGCGGCGCGUGACUGGGCGUGGUGGAGUUUCAAGAUGCUGAUGAACUUAAGGUCUGGCGCUUGAAAGAAUCAAUGAAGCGUUUCAAGUAGAUGAGAUCUAUUUGGAUAUGUUACCUUUAGUAUCUACAGAAUAGAGGUUGCUUUUUUUGGUUGUUCUUUUCAUAGUGGUAGGAAGGGUGAAUUUUGAGAUGGCCCCAACUGUCUAUAAAAAUAUUACUUCACAGUUUUGUGUCUCUGCCUUACAGUUGAGUUGAUCCCGUAGAAAAUUUUUAUGGAAUUAAAUUUCAUUAUUUAAAGUAGUUUUUCUAUGAACCAGCUGUGGUCUGUAACUUGACAGUGUUAAUACCAAAGAGCAAUACCUUAAUCAUGGUUCAUAUACUCAACAAAGAUAUGACUUAACUCUAAAGAUUGUUAAGAGUGUUAUUUUACAGUAUAGUCUUUUUUUCUUUUUUCCUUUUGUAGUUUAUGA